CAGGGACUGCCUGUGGAUCCAUGCCAAUUGCUGUGAUCAGCCAGCCCAUCCAGGAGAGAAGCUGUGACUUCCCCAAGCACACCAAGCUGUAACUCUCUGGGUCCUGUCAUUUGGGCUGAUGAGAAAGCAGCUUCCGAGGAGAGACAUGAUUCAUCCAAAGAGACGAUUCAUGUGAGAGCCAGCUUUCAGGCCAAGUAUUGAUGGGAGACAUCUGGCUGAUUGGCCAACAGCAGGUAGAGGAAGAAGGCAAGCCCAGUGAAGACAGCAUGAGGAGAGCAUCCACCUUUUGACAUUGCACACAAGCAAGGAUGACACCAUGACCAUCUUUGAAAGGGCAGAGCUGGACUUUUGCAUAACAUUAUUCAGGUUAAUGACACCUUGGUACACAUCAGUCAAUUAAAUAAUAAAUAAAAUGUAUUGACUCUUAGUCUUCAAUAACACCUCUGAGACUUGUUAAUAAUACUUGUGGAUUGAAGAUAUAUAAACAAAAUCAAUAUUUAUUGAAAAAAUGUUCAACGUUUGAGAACUUAGAUUAACCUUGUUAAUUGAUCCUAUAAAGUGUCAAAUUUUUGACUGAUUUGUUUACUUACAUGCUUGUGAAAUUCUUUGGGAUGGAUAUUGCUUCCUAAUACAAUGUUUGUAGCACACUC
rnacentral:lncRNA from 1 species